rnacentral:rRNA from 1 species
UCCGUAGGUGAACCUGCGGAGGGAUCAUUACUGAGUUACCGCUCUAUAACCCUUUGUGAACAUACCUACAACUGUUGCUUCGGCGGGUAGGCCGUCCCCUGAAAAGGACGCCUCCCGGCCCGGACCGGACCCCCCGCGGGACCGGACCCGGCGCCCGCCGGAGGAUAACCAAACUCUAUUGUAACGACGUUUCUUCUGAGUGGCAUAAGCAAAAUAAUCAAAACUUUUAACAACGGAUCUCUUGGUUCUGGCAUCGAUGAAGAACGCAGCGAAAUGCGAUAAGUAAUGUGAAUUGCAGAAUUCAGUGAAUCAUCGAAUCUUUGAACGCACAUUGCGCCCGCCAGCAUUCUGGCGGGCAUGCCUGUUCGAGCGUCAUUUCAACCCUCAAGCUCUGCUUGGUGUUGGGGCUCUACGGUCGACGUAGGCCCUCAAAGGUAGUGGCGGACCCUCCCGGAGCCUCCUUUGCGUAGUAACAUUUCGUCUCGCACUGGGAUCCGGAGGGACUCUUGCCGUAAAACCCCCCAAUUUUCCAAAGGUGACCUCGGAUCAGGUAGAAUACCCGCUGA